GGCCUCGAAGUUGCACAAUCUCUUACUCUAUAGACUCUGGACAUUCACGGAUAAAGUGAUCUAAGGAUCCACAUCUAAAGCAAGCUCGGUCAUUCAAUCUACAACUUCCCGGAUCUCUUUUACCAUAGUGUCUACACUUGAGUCGAUCGUAUCAGACAUUUCCAACACUUGCAACAGAAGUAACUGGAGCUCUGAAGCUCGAAUGUAAUCUAGUACGAUCUCUAAUUGAAUAUCCCAC
rnacentral:lncRNA from 1 species